rnacentral:rRNA from 1 species
GCAAGUCGAACGAGAAAGCACCUUCGGGUGUGAGUAGAGUGGCGCACGGGUGAGUAACACGUAGGUGACCUACCUUACAGUGGGGGAUAACUCCGAGAAAUUGGAGCUAAUACCGCAUACGAUAAACGAAAUUGAAAAAGUUUAUGAAAGAAUGCCUCUCCUUGGAAGCAUUCACUGGAAGAUGGGCCUGCGGAGCAUUAGCUUGUUGGUGGGGUAAUGGCCUACCAAGGCAACGAUGUCUAGGGGUUCUGAGAGGAUGAUC